AUUGAACGCUGGCGGUAUGCUUAACACAUGCAAGUCGAACGGCAGCAUGGUCUAGCUUACUAGACUGAUGGCGAGUGGCGGACGGGUGAGUAACGCGUAGGAAUAUGCCUUGAAGAGUGGGACAACUUGGGGAAACUCAAGCUAAUACCGCAUGUACUCGAGAGAGUAAAGCUGGGGACCUUUAGGCCUGGCGCUUUAAGAUUAGCCUGGGUCCGAUUAGCUAGUUGGUAGGGUAAAGGCCUACCAAGGCGACGAUCGGUAGCUGGUCUGAGAGGAUGAUCAGCCACACUGGAACUGAGAGACGGUCCAGACUCCUACGGGAGGCAGCAGUGGGGAAUAUUGGACGAUGGGGGGAACCCUGAUCCAGCAAUGCCGCGUGUGUGAAGAAGGCCUGAGGGUUGUAAAGCACUUUCAGUGGGGAGGAGGUUUGGAAGGUUAAGAGCUAUUCAAAUGGACGUUACCCACAGAAGAAGCACCGGCUAACUCCGUGCCAGCCGCCGCCGUAA
rnacentral:rRNA from 1 species